CCUUAAUUGUGUCCCUGGGUAAAACUGGGAAAUGAGGCAUGAAUUCUCUCUACUUUCAGUAAACUUGGAAAGAAAACGUGCUGUAUUAGAUGGUUAUUUUUCUUGAUCUAUUGACAGUAUUUUAAAAGAAGCAGGUUAAAUUUGUGUAUGCAUACGUUGCUUGAAGGGCUACUGUAAUACAUGCAUCCACUCCCACUGCCACAACCAUUUUAAGGAAAAAUACUAUUUCAUCUGCUUAAUGAAAUGUAUAAUUUGCAUCAUACACAUGAAAUAUUUUUUAAGCUGCAAAUUUUGAAGUGUGAACUCUAAUGCAUUAGUACCUCUCGCUGAAAUAUGCCAAGUUUCUGCCAGGCAACUGUUGUUGAGCAGGGGUGAAGUGCCAUAGCUAAGACAAAGAGGAAGUCAAAGCCCUGCCUUAUCGGUAAUGUGAGAAGAUGUUUGGCAAAGAACAACUAUUCCAGGAGCUAAGAACUUGUAUUUCUGUUUAAGAUUUAAACUUUUUUAGAUCAAUUAUUUUCAGCAAUUGUAGUGUUGUAAAAGGAGCCUGGUACGUGUAUUUGGUGUUGUGGCCCCUGCCCAUGUGGCCAUGCGUGCCCUGAGAGCACGGCGCUGUUAGGGGUGGGGUUGGGGUGCACUGACCGAUGGUAUAAACCACUUCCACAUCGUCCAUCUGCGAGUCCGUGAUGCUGUUCUUGGCCUCGCCUUUCACAUCUCCCAGGAGAAAUCCUUCCUUUUGAGGGGAAGAAAGAUGGAAAAUGAAGUUUGCAGGGCAAACACCAACACCAGGUGACUGCAAUCUGCCAUGCACUGGAUCUGCUGCAUGUCUCUAUCAAAGGGAAGCCAGCUUCCCUGGUGCUUCCGCAGUUGGCAAUGAAGAAUAGAAGAUAAACAAUUUUCCAGCACAUUCUGCAGCCUGUUGCAAAGACAUCAUAUUGACAUUAAUUCUAUUUCUCAGAUAAACAAGCCUAAUUUUCAUUCAUAUGCUGUGGUGUCUCUGAGAACAGUGUAAACUUUCUGCAAAAGUUCUUCAGAGCCAAACCAUUCAGUUAGUCCUUACACUUGAUAGAAGUGAAGUCCCAAAGCAAACUGGGAAUUUUGUGUCAGUAAAUAACUUAGUGUAACAUAGAUCCUUUGGAUCAUGCACUGGUACAGUAAUUCCUACAUGGGAUGCUAAAUUACUCUUAAAAAGUAGUCUCUAAAUAAUGCAAGAUUGACUUACCACCAUAUGCAUCAAGAAUUACUGACACUGCUUUUGACAACGUGUCUAAAAUGCAUAUGCUCUCAUUAGUGUCUGCAAACAUCUCUGGAAUCUGGUCCAACAAGCUAUGAAAGAAGAAAAGUUCAGUGUCUCAACUAGUUAGUGUAUUUGGGAUAAUCCCCAAAAAUGUGACAUACCAAGUCUUUAUAGAGGAAGUUCUUUUCCAUGCAAGUUUAUACUUAAAAAUUUUGAUUUCUUAGGAUUCCAGCCAGAAUAAAAUGAAACAUGAAUUUUAAAAUUCUAUUGAAAUGCAUUAUUUCAAAGUUGAUAACAUAAAGGAACAUGCAUUAAAUCAAAAAUAGCUAAAAAUAAAGGAGUUCUAGUAUGGAUAAAGACUUAAGAGUCUUUAGAUCAUACCUAGGCAUGCAUCACAUAUAUAGGAGGAAAACCAGGAAAAACAUGCAACAUAGCAGAAAGCCACAGCCCGCCCUCCCACUUCUGAUGAAGCAGAGCUGAAGAUGCCUGGCUCACAGCUGGUCUAAACAGGCUUUCAAAUUCAGCAUUGCGCGUUGCUGCUACAUUUGCUUCCCCUCAGAGGUGGAAAUAUAAGACUUGAUGCAUCUGCUGACUUGUAAAGCAUUUCAACAAAUUCAUGCAUCCUCCAAAACCCCGUAACACAAUUGACUAAAAGGGAAAAAGUCUAUUCUAAGCAUUCAGCUCUUAUUCCAAUAUGGAAUUAUUGUACUUUACUUGUUAACAACAGAUCGUGAUUCCUGAAAGCUAACACGGAAACCAUCCAGCAAAGGAACAAAAACUUCUCCAACACCUGAGACCACCAUCAUCUGAGGCUGAGCUAAGUUGCUUUUUACUUUAAAGAAGUGGAUGGCCUUGUUAUAAGUGACAAAACCAACUCGAAUUGCUGAGGAUUCUUCUUGCUCUUCUCUGUGAGAAAAACAAAAAACAAGUGGUUAUAAUUUUGAAACUCUGGCCUUGCAAUAGAAGCAUUCAUUUGAAAUACAGGGCUGCUUUCAUUAUCUGUACUGGGAGCAACAAAGCAAACAACCAACCAGAUGCAAUUGCCCUAGUCUUUGCCUCAGGUCAAAUUAAAACAACCAUAUUAAAUCAACCAUUGCAAAUUUAUUUUAUAAUAUAUAUUAAAGUCAACCCUAUCAACUGUGCAUCCCAUUCAAGCAGGCAAGAGUAUCUAAGAUAAAGAAUAGACCCUGUCUUCAAAACAUGGAAAAGAGGGAACAGGACAAUCCUUUACAAGACACAAUCAGAAAAUCAGCUUUAUUUAGAAUACAUUGUAAUUCAGUGACACUCACUAUCAAUGCCUGGAGAGAACAGUUACUAGGCUUGAAUAAUGAAUGUCUGGUGACUUUCAGAGUUCGGUGGCUCGAUCUUCUGCUUUGGCAGGACUGCUUUUAAGCAGCAAAAGGUCUUGGAUCCCUCAGUCGUGCAUCAUACAGAAAAUGUACUAUAGAAAUUUCUCGUUAUUCCUAGUGUGUUCCCAGGCCAACUAAAGCUCACAAACCGCUGCCAUGAGCUACCCCUGCAAGAACACUGCAAGCAGUGAGCUCAGGAGCUGUUUUUCAGGAGGUAACUCCCCUAAGCACUAGUUACUGUGUCAUUAUUAGCAGUAUCAUUAAUAAGACUAAUGAGACCAGGUUUGCAGCCCUAAGUUUAGUAGAAGGCAACUGUAUUCCAAAAAUCAGUCUUAAUUACUUCUAAAAUAGCACAUACUCUUAGUUUUACAAGCUUCAUCUAAAACCUUGAGCUUGGGAGGGAAACCAUUUUUCAUUCAAUAAAGAAUGCUAAUCCACCAUUCCUGCUCUGUGGAAGCAGCUGGAUGAGAAAGGGGCUACCUUUAAUUUAAAACAAACCAGUAUUCUGUAUGAACACAUUCCAUAAAGAAGCAUUUUAAACAAUCUCUCCGAGAUCCUCUAACUCAACUAGAUGCAUCCUUUCUGAAUGCAAGUCUCUAAUCAUUCCUAGCAAUCAGACACUACUAUUUUCCAAGUAACAUGAUUAACAGGGAGCAUUCAGGACAAGUUAUUACUAAGUUUAGGCACAUAUAGCACUCUUCUACUUCGAGAAGAAAUAGCCACAUCAUCCUACUGGUUCCAACACUUUUACAUAGCAGAUAUUUGGGACAAUUUCAUCAGACAAUUACAGUGUGGCAGUCUGCACACUUUAUACAAUUUGAUUUCUUCUAUCAUUGUUUUAAAGAUCCCUUGUCAAACACAGCAGUUGAUUGCCUGUGCAGCUAACACACUUGGUUCUUUUUAACGUCUCAGAAGGAGAUGUCUGAAUCAAAUGUACUCAAUUUUUUUUUAAGUUAUAUGGCUAAAAAUCAUAUUGGUACAAAUAGCCUGAUUCUCUGAGGUCAGGAGCAGAAUUUCUGUAAGCACAUUUCUCUGUAUUUCUCUAAAUAGAGAAUCAGUGUUCUGGUUUAGAACAUCUAAAUUUGAAAGUGUCUGCCCUAAAACUUCUAGCAAGCAAAUAACGUGUUUUCUGCUAUGCUGCAAAUCUGCAGAAGCAUAAGGCCCUUUUAACACGAAGUCUCUAGACACCUAGCUUAGUCCAUUAUUUGCUAGCUUUAACUUCUCACUUCUCAGCCGUUCUCACAGGCUUACCUGCCACAAGCUGCUACACCAGUGGCCUUUUUGUUACACAUUGCUCUGUUAACCAGAAGUCUUUCCUCUUAAAGAAUUUGGGCUCCCGGAAAUCUGAGCACAGGGUGAAUUCCCAGCACGAUGUUUUCACCUCAUGUGAUAACAGCAGAAUAUUUUUGCAGGUGUCUUUUUUCAGCAACAGAAAAUGAACACACAGUGAAGUUCGUGUCUUGGCACCAAAAUAAAAGUUUCACCACAAAUGCUGGUGGAGUGAGUGCCACCAAUUUUUAAUUCAUAUUGUUUAAAGGCAACAGACAACUCUGAAGCAACUCACAGGCCUGCUCUUUAUUUAUUUAUUUAUCUUGCUUUUUUCAGUGGACAUGAAAACUUUGUCCAUGCAAACAGGGUAUUUAGCAGUAGAUAUCUGCAGAGUGCUUGUGAGGAAAAGAGUAUGUAUACUAUUUCUUGUGAUGUAGAUACACUUGCUUUCAUUUUUCCUUUACUUUCUCUAUUCAAGACUAGGUGUUCCUAAACUGCCAAUUGUUUUUUGCUACUAUGCUCGCGGCCUUUUAUUAUCUUCAGAGUCAUGACCAAUCCUGAUAGAAAGCUCUGAGAUAUGUUCAGGACAAUAUCAAACACUCAUGUCUCCAGUGUAAUCUUCAAUGACAAAGUGCUCCAGGGAUGGUCUUACAUGGGCAUCUAACAAACUAACUCCCCACCCUGAACUGGAAUUUCUUUCAUGCACAGAGAUCCAACAAGCACAUAGGAUAAAAAGAUUUUUAACAUAUCCCAGAUUAUCUCAAGGAUCUUGUCUCCCACUCUUCCUCACUUUGCUCCCUCUGUUUCUUAAGCCUGUUCUCCCUCUACAAACACUGUUAUUUGGAAUGUGUUUUCUUUCUGUAUGCUCUUUGAUCCUUUUGUAUGCCUCAACUAAGUAACACCUUGUCUACUUCAUUUUUUCAGUCUGACUUCCACUGCUUUCAUUUAACUGUUGGCAUUAUUUAAAUGUUAAUAAAAACUGCCCAUAACAUAUCAUACUAAAAACUACACAAAACCACACUAAAGUAAUAUACCAUGAUUAAUACAGAUCAGUAUUAAUAGUACUACUACACGUUUAAUGCUGACAUCGCAAACGUGCCAUAUUUAACAGAAUAUCAGUUGCCUAAAAGAUUUGCUAGCCUCUCAGAUACAUACCAGGGCAGAAAAAUCUCACAACAAAGCAAGCUAAGAGAUCUGCUGAUUAACAAAAAAGAGCUAAAGAUAUGACCCACCAACACUGGCUUUAGAGAGACUUUACUUUCUUGAGAUUCUGGUUUGUGGUAUUUCUCUGCUUAAUUUAAGGAGAAAAGCAGUACUACAGUAAACAGAACUACAGAAAGUAAAGUCAAAACCACAAGCUGGGACUUAGCUGAUAACACCACUAGAGUUCAGUACAGGAAAAGAAAAGAAAGGAUGCUGCAUGUUCAAUCAGUGCAUCACAUUCCUUCUGUUCAUAGAAUAAACCCAGAUAUCAAACUGAGUUUUUCAAAAACUGUCAGCAAUUUUAAAAUUACCAUUUAGUCACUAUCACCUCAAAAUGCCUGUACUGGAAAUUCUGUCAUUUUUAGCACUUCCUUGGUUUUACCUCUCAACAUGCAUAGCUUCUUGAAAUCUGUAGUAUGGUACAUUGAGCAAAACACACUUAUGUUUCUUUACCUUGGAAGCUUAUCUAGCAGAGUCUUCCUGUUCCUCACUGAAGAGUUCAACUAGGCCACUGUUUAUAUUUCUGUAUGAUACAUCAAUCACGAAGAUAUAAGCUGGUGGAUUUGGAGGCUUGUUAUCCUAUGGAAAAAAUAUUGACAGGGAAAAUUAGACAGUGUCAUGUUAAUGUUGACUGCACAGCUUCUUAGCCACAGUUGUACAUAAGAGACAUGUAAGUAGCAUACAUAUUGUGAUAUACACUACUGACCAAGCUUCUGUGACUAUCAAGAUGAUGAUUGUUUAUUUUUGUUUAAAAAAAAGCAAUGUAAUGCUUACAGAUGUACCCAGGAAGAUCAUAUAGAGUGCACAUAGCAACAGAAAUCACGAUGGGCCCAGCCAUACACCUAAGUUCGUUUUUUCUAAUUCUGAUUAAGAUGAGUAGUGGUCGUUACCUGGUGUCAAAUUCAGGACAACUUUUCCAUUAUAGUUAUUUAUGCUAUUUCACUGCCUUCAUAUAAAGGAUUCUGACCACCUACCAAAUUAUACUCAUAACAAAGAAACCACAGAAAACUCCAUCUAAGAAAAAAUCAUCUAAUCCUUGAAUUAUGACUUAUCCAUAGUCAUAUCCUCAGAACACAUAAAAUUAAACAUUAUACCCUUGAUCUCACUUCAUCUGAAUCAUGUAAAUCAAGAUCAACUUGUCAACUAAAACCAGACAGUAUUGUUCUGUUUUCUGUAUUUGUAUACUAGUUUCAAAAGACAUAUCAAACAUUACUUUCUGAACUCUCGUAGCACAUUGCUAUUUAUAAAGAAUUCCUGCAUAAUUUCUGACAAAUAUAUGGCAGAAAUGAGAACUAGUGCUCUUGCCACAUCCGCUUAGCAGGAGCACAAUAACGCAAAACAGCUGUUAUUUGUUAACAUUUUUUGUAGCUGUUCAUCCUUGUCAUUUGAUAAGCACAAAAGGAAAUGGCUUUUCAGUUCUGGUCUUAAACUGAUUUAUAAAAGAACUAAACUUUUCUAACUUGGAGCAAAAUGAGAAAAUUAUUAUAAAAUAAUGUUAACUUCUCUAAAAUUCAGUGACUAACAGUUUCCAGUGUGAAUGUUGAUUUUAUCAGAGAUUUAUUUUUUGUAUCAUUCUGCUGAGUCUAUGGAAGAGGUCUUUGCAACAAGAAGACAAACCAUGCUAGAUGGCUUAUCACAGAAGCUCCCUCAUUGAAACUGUAUGGCAAAUUCACUGCACUGAAAGCAAGACUGUGAUGAUGAACACAGGGUUACAUGUUAGAGAAAAAGAACUGUGAAAACGGCAUGGAGCUGUUCAGUAUACACAUUUUCAAAAGCUUAGCUGCAGAAAGCAGCAAAGCUACACUGAGGAUCCCACAUUAUUUCUGUAAUGCCCCAUUACAGCCACUGAGUUCUCUCCUGUCCUGAGGUUUAACGCAGAUGUCAAUGGAAUCUCUAAAGGCAGUCUCCGGGAUUUCACUGGACUUCGUGAGAGACCAGAAUUAAACAACCCGUUCAUUUCUUCGUACACCAGCAAUAAUCUGAUGGUCUGAGGAAGUUACUUGUACGUACUUCAAGGCUUUGUUGGAUUGAACCGCCUUUCAUAAUUUUAUCAUACCCACAUUCCACUGAUGGGAAGAAAAUUUCACCUUCUUUCAGAAACGACCAAAAAAUAUGUCCAUGCUGUGGGCAGGUGAGGUCACGCUAGGAAGAAAAAUUUUGUCAAGUUUGAAAAGCUUAAAUAAUUUGUGCUUUUGGCAGUACAAAAUACAUUUAUCUAAUAAAAUCAACUACAAAUACUUCCAGUGACUUGAGUAGACUUUGGAACAAGUUCUUAACUAAUUUAGUAUUAGGACAGAGAACUCAUUCCAUUAUAACUUACUGGUCAGAACACUAAAACUACUCAUGCCAAGAAAAGAUUCAGAUUCCCAUGCUAAGGUUUGAAAAGCUGAGAAGGCAAUUCAGGUGCAUGUCUGUCUGCAAAAUUAGUAAGUCAUGCAGCUAAAAACCAAAACUGCAUCACAGAAUUUGAACUAUAACCUCUGAACAUUCUCUACAUCUUUCCAAGGACCAAACCCGCACCUCAGUUGAAGAUUUGUGAUCCAUGACUUUGAGGAACUUUUGAUUACUGUUAGUUGCUAGUCUCCAACACAAAAGAGCAAAACAUUAUUGUAAGCUUAAAUCCUCCACAUCUGAAAAUUUCCUAAAAUGUUCUUGGACUCUGAUAUUCAGCUUAUAAAUGCAUUUACUCCAACAUAGGUAUUUAAAGGAUUUUGUUUGUGUUGACAUAAAAUCAUAAAUUAUUUUGUGCAUUGGAAAUACUCAGCAAUAAUCCAAAGUAGCAACGUAUUCAUAUGAUCCCACAGAUAGCUCAGGUCUUUCAUAAUGGUCUACCCGUCAGACAAUGUGGUCCAGAUGUUGAAAGAAGAACAGUGGGACUAAAAACCAAUACAAGAGCAGGAAAAAAAAUGUUUACAGUGUGGAGAGGAACAACCCAACAACUCCUUUCAAAAGUUACCAUGUGGUAACACAGGCUCCUCUUUAUUGAUCAAGGAGGUGUGUAAACACUUCGCCAGGUUAUAAUAUUUUUUUCUUCAUGCUGAUUUAAGAAAACAAACAAAGCUCACAACAUUCUAGUAAUGCAAGCUCGUCUUGUAUUUGGAGAAUACAAUCCCCCCAUGAAUGUCAAUUUUCUCUUGUCUCUACCCUGUUAAGCCUGAGUAGGUAAAACUGAUCCAGGUUAUUUCCACAGGCAGGAGUCUGCUAUCCUCAGGCUACAGAUUAAAUUAUGGCUAUUUUGUUAGAAAGAUACCAUCUACUCAAAGCUUAAUUCACAUCACCGGAGUUAAAAACAGAACUUUUCCUAAAGCCUGUGCUGCUUUAUGCAACAUUACCACUUCACUGGAAAUAGCUCUGCAACGUUCACAAACCUGGCCUACUGUACAGCAAGCUGCCUUCAGUCCAUAGCUAGUCUAAUGGCUAGUCACACUGGGAAGAGUCACCUCUGGAUUUUAGCUCUUUUUUUCUCAAUCUUUACACAUUUAGAAUGUUAUUUUUUACAUUUCUGUCUGUUCAAAGCAGGGUAUGCAGAAUAUCUACCUAGUUUUUGGGGCAUUUUAAGGUCUCAUUAAUGUUUUUAAGUGUUUUCCAAUGUGGAUAAAAGACACUACUAAUACAUGUACAAAGCAUGAUUGAAAAUGAUACUGCAACUGAAAUGUCUUAAAAUGUUCAUAACAGAUUCAAAUUUCUCUUUAUGAGAGUUUAAAUUGCUAACAAACUAGGAAAUUUGCUAUCUGCUAUGCUUGCACAAACAUCAGAGCCUCAGGCAGAAAAGAAGUUGGAAUGAGCCUGUCAAGGUUCACGUUUCAGAGUUGAAAAGAUUACUGUAUUAGGGAAAGCACUAUACCACUGUGAUCCAGCUGAGGAAAUCCAACUUGAUACAAAUGUCUAGAAAGGCUACUUCUGGCAAAGAUCUGGGAUUUAGCCAAGAGCACAAGAACAGUUAUGAGUCACAUGCAGCACACUUGAACAAAUAUGGCAUGGUAUCUUCUGUGAAAACCAACACUUGUCACAGGAAGAUUAAUAGGCUAUUUAACCACUGUAUCCACAGUCGUGGCCAGGACUAGUCUAACAUGGUUCUAAAUAAUUCUUUGCUGAACAUUUAGAUUUCUUGAAGAAAUUAAUUUCUCUACAAAAAAGUUGCUUUUGGUUAGCAAUACAAGCAACUUUAUAUCCUAUGCUGACGUAGUAUUUUAAAAUAAACUUUUGACCAUAACAGACUGGACUUGGAAUUCAUGGUUUAGCAUUAUUUUUUCUUAUAUUUAUUUUUAAAAACCGAACUGAAGAAGAAGUGUUUUAAGUAUUUUUACCAAGUAGUAUUUUGUGUUGUUGUUUUAAUUUGUGAAAUAGCCCUUGCCACUGCAUCUCACUAUACUAUUUUCAAGUCAUCUAGUCAGGAAAAUCACUUCAGGGAUACAGUUCCUUUUUAGUUUUAUAGAAUUUGUAUGGACCACAGAUCAGAGAAAUAUCACUUCCCAUCAUUUAUGCAAUUGCAAAAUCCACACUGAUACCUUCUUCCAUCUUCAAUAAACUGCAUGAAGGGACACAUGUAAGCUUUGCACCUGUUACAUCAGAUUGGUCCAGUCUCACCAUGGUUUGCAACAUAAAGAGGUGUCUAAAUGAAGGGGUACAUGAAGUUAUAAAAAGCACUGCAAACUUGAAACCAAAUAAAGUGAGCUAGAAAGCUGCUGCUCAGCCUUAACACUUGUUAGAUUUCAGCUGACCAAGAAAUUGUUGUUCAGCAUUUAUUCAAAUUCUCCAGUACAGCUGGUUCAACCUCAUAGGUCCCCUAAAGAACUUAAUUUUCAAGCUUGCAAGCUCCCUAUUUUGGUAUUUAUCAGAAAGCAAUAAAGGAUCCAUACAAGGAGCCUACAAAACUUUGAAAGCAUUGGAAGUUCAGGGCUCUAGGCUGACUUUCUCCAGCAAAGGGUUUUUAUAGCUCAAAAGGGAGAAAUCUGCUGGGGUCAGGUAUUUCGCCUUCUCUAUCAGAUUGAGCUUUUCUCAAAUAAAUUUGUUGAUACUCACUGAUUGCAUGCAGCUAUUGCAAACAGGUAGUUACUAAGAAAGCUUCUAAUAUUUUCAAUUAAAUGCCCUUCCCCCUAAUGCUGCUGUGUUACAUGCUAUACUAAGGUUUAAUGCUGCCAGGGUCACCAGCUAGAGUAGAAGAUUUAGAAGUACUAAUAUUUACUGAAGGAAAGAACAUACAGUAAACAAAUACAGUAUCUCAAACACUUGUCAGCUUAAUUACACUGACCAUGCUUGCUUAUAGCCUCUGCCAAAAACCACAGCUAAUGGAAGACAUUUUCCAGAUGCCUCUUGCAGUAAUAACUGUGCAGCAACUGAAAGAUUCCUGUAAUUGUAAUUUAUGUUACAAAAGUCAUACUUGAAACCACCGCACAAAUGGAAGUUUGUUCAAUUAUUUGUGAAACUCUAUGGAGCAUAAACAAACGUGGUUUUUCUUUUUUCUUUUUUUUCUUUCUUACUCCCUUCAACCCUAACUAAAAUCUCUGACUGUAAGAGUAAGAAAAUAAAUCCAGAGUUGGGCCCCAUGAUAGAUCUCUACAAGAGGAAGAACACUGACAACCCUCGAAUGCUAGAACUUUUCCACUAGCAUAUUCACUUAUUUAAAAUUAUUGUCUCUUAUGGAAUGGACAUAUUUAAUCUAUUAUACACUUUUAUCUUUUAUUGGAGCAUAAGAGUCUUUGAAUACCUAGAGAGUCAUACAUGUUCUUCUAGCAUUCACUGCUUACAUGUAUUUUAUUGUUUGUUUAUAUUUUACAGAGACAAUUAUUUUACUUAUUUAUUUCUCCAAAGGAUUUGAUGCUUUUUGCCAAGAACUUACUACACAGUACAUACGGGUAGAUUUUACUACAUGGGUUUUAAGUGAUCCCUCCUGCUCCACUGAGAUAAUACAUUGCUUCAUGUUCUUUCUUCUACGAAAACUGAGUUUAACACAAAUUGACACAUAAUGUCAGUUGGCAAACUAUCAGGGUCAUUUUUCAGACACUAGAGCCUUGGCUAUAAAACCUGCUUACUAGCCACAAUAACUUAAGUUUUAGAACUUCUGGGUUUUGUUCAUUACUUGGCAAUUUUCUGAUUAUCAUUCUGCUGUAUUAAUUUAAUGAGGCCUGGAUCUGGCUUGCCAUUAAUAAUACAGUAUCUGAACAGGUAGGGAAAAAAGACACCCUUACACAACACCCCAUGUAUUUAUACACAUUUUUUUAGUGAUUUUAAGCCCUGUUCUAAUACACUUAAUGUUAUUCAAGAGCAGAGAAAAAUUACUCUCAAAUGACCAUAUUUUGAAAUACCUUAUUAAAAUUAAGAUCUUUACCUAUAAAGCAUGAAUAAGAAAAAUCAUAAAAAUAAAUGCCAUAAAGUUCAGAGCCUAGGUAGCAACAUUCUUCUACAUACUUAAUAAAUUACCUUUUUAAUGACAGCAGAAACAAAAUAUUAUUUUUUUCCUUGUCUUUCCAUUUCUGGAGUGGAAAUAUUUAUCUUUCAUCUCCCUUAAGCUUCAUUAAAAAAAUUUACUUAUUACGAAGUUUUUUUUAAUGUGGUUUUAGAGCCCUAAUAGCCUACGGGUUACUAAGAUCUGCACGUAUGUUUAACUUUCUGCAUCAAACGUUCUUCUUGAAGUCAACGAGACUAUGUGCAGUGCAUGAAGUUAAAAUAUGCUGUCAAGUUUUACAAAACCAGUAUUCCAAUCUUAUGUAGAGAAAUAAAAGAUAAAAUACCAAUAAAAUCAUACUGGAGAGGCUGGCUAUUUUUAGUUUCCAAAAAACUUGCAAAAACUAUAAAACAAAACAAAACAAAACCCCAAAUCAAUGGAAUUAAGCCUAACUAAGAAAUGCAUGCAAUAGACUGAAGGAUUUUGUCUAACAGAAAAAUCUUGAAAAAAAUACCUGUUUUUUUGAUUUCUUAAUGUGAAAUGUCCAUUUACCUUUCAGUAUUUUCUUAAAGUAAUUUAAACCACUACAUCACUAAUGAACAUAUCUAAUAAUAAACCAUUUUACAUGAUAAUUUUUGAAUACAGACUCAGACUGAAAUCAUCCAGACCCACUUCUUCACAACACAGUUGUUACACAAAUUCAUUUCUGUUUGGGUGGGUAAACUGCUAUUACAUUUCCAACUGUCAAUUUCCAUUAGAGUCAAAAAACUUUUUUUUCUUUUUAAUACCUAAAUCUUAUAGGAAUUUACAAAGAUAAAUGAUGUACAAGCAUUUAAAAAGAAAAAAAAAAAAACAAAAACAAGUCUACACUAAUGAAUACAUAAAACAAAAACUGUUGCCAUCCACAGCCCAAAAGAAAUGGUGCUAAAUGGGAAAGCCCUGCUUUCUAGGCUCCACAGCCUGUACUUCACUCUCUGUAGAUGUCACUGUACACCAGAAGAUAAAGGGAUCUGUUUACGGUCCCAUGGAACUCAGUGGCAAACUUUCACAGAAGGAGGGGAUUAAGAUAAAAUAAAAAAAACUCAGAUUCCUUUUUUUUUUUUUUUUUUGAAACCAGUGCAGUAUUCCUUUUCCUUUUGCUUCUCCAGCUAUAAACUACCAGCAUUUUCCUUCUCUCCUCCUGUAAUUUUCUACAAAUAAUAAAUGAAUCAAUUUAGGUAUCUACCAUAACUAUUCGAACAUUUGCUGUAUUUGUGUGUUUUGUUCUUGCACCUCUCCUACUCCUUUAUCUCCUCAAAAUCCUUUCCCCAAUUUACCUGUUUGGAUCACCUGACUGAGCACAGAGACAGUCCUCACAAAACUGGACACGUAAGCAUUGACUGUCAGCUUUCCAGCACUAUCAAAUUAUAAAUAUUUAUCAAAACCGAUGACUAAAACUACUACUCAGUAGGAUAAAUCUGACCUCGUAAAUAGAUUCCUUUUAUGUAAGCUGGAGGACUGGAGAAGCAGAAAGAAUCAGCUGCAGUGGGAGGCAGAACAGUAUGGUUUUCUGUUAAAGGGGAUUGGGCAGAAGAGAUGGAAAACGCUGUGGAAGACCUGCAUAAACUUUCCCUUCUCUGAAGCCUCAGGGCCCCACUACAGUGCAAGCCCUGAAAGCUGAUCUGAUAAACUAUAACUUAUCUCACUAUUAGUCCAAAUAUAGCUGGGAUAGCAAGAGUUAUUUUGGAAAUAUUUCAGCCAGAACAUCUCUCUGGAGUCAGCGCUGUAUCAGAGAGCAAUAGAUAGGCAUUGGUGGCACUGCUCCAAGAUGAAAUACAUCCAUAAAAAUUUCCAGAGGGACUAUAACCUGUGCUUUAAAGUCUCAGAGAGCUGAAUUACUAUUGCUUGCUAUAAAAGUGAAGACCUGACCUACUCCUGAGGGUUCCCUGUGAUGCCUGCAGAGUAUCACUGUUUUCAUAUUGCAGGAUCAGGGCCACAGCUGGAAAUUAUAAGUGUAGGAACAAGGACUGCGAUGAAGCUCAAGUUCAUCAUGGCACAUCUCUGGAAAAGCAUUCUGAAGAGAAAAUCAGAAGAGAGUCUCUGGAGAAUGAAAAAGAGGUAUAUGCAAACAGUGAUGAGAACUAGCUAUUUAUCACACAACAAACUGAAAAAUAUACACCAUCUGCUUUAAUUGCCAGACUCACAUACUGGGCUACAAGAAAACCUUUCGUAGCUGUGCUGCAAGUCGAAUCUCCAUAUGCAACAUACAAAAUGCCUUUGCCUCACAGCCAGUGUGGACUCCCCACAACAUACACCCUAUUAGUACCUGAUGAAUCUGCAUUAGGAGCAAUAUUUUUGCCUAGAGUUUGACUCCAUGAUCAUUUGAAUACGUUUAAUACCCCAGCGCUAAAAUGACAGGAACAUGUAUUGAAAUGAGACCCACACAACUUGCAAAUCUGGCUACAUCCAAGGGGAACACGAAAACUUGUACCAGGAUUGUACCAGCAAUUUUCAGUUGCACCAGUACCUCUAUCACAAUCCCUUCCUCCUCUUCCCCACCAGAUGAGGAAUUUGCGACCUGUUUUGGCAUAUACUUUUGAAGAACUUCACUGGUUUACAGAGAUAGCUGCUCUAUGCAAUGUUACACCGUAUACUAUACAUGACAAAUUGCCUGUUCAACUGCAAAUUAUCUCAGUACAAAUGAUUUUGAAAGCACAUCCCUUGAAAGAACCAUAUUUAGUAUCUGAGAUUUCAGGAGACUAGUUAAUUGAUGUGUUUAGAUGAGGGCUAUUUGUUUCUAAAGGAAGAUUAUCUCACGGGUUCGGAAAGCUGCACAGAUACAUAUCUCUUGAUGACUUAUAAUAUGAUAGUUCCUUAAAAUUACAUUCUACAGUACUCUAGCAUAUAAAGCAUUUUAUACUUCAGUACAGCAAACAUUAAACACAAUGUGUUUGCACAACUGAUUACCUGAAAUAAAGACACAACUGCCAGUUACUCAAUUCAGACAAUUCAUCCCACAGACAAGCUGUGUGGGGCAACAAAAUCCAGAAAGGCAGUGUUUCUAGAGCUAUUUACAUUGACAUUCAUGUAAGUCUGAUUAUUAAAAUAUUUAUACAAGCAUUUUAAGAGAGGCUACACAAUAUAACUUUUUAAUGAUCAGGGGGAGAUGAUUGUUGGCCAAGGUCAGUACCGCUGCCCCAUGCAAAUCUGCAAAUCUUGAGCUUCAUUUGUACAGUAGAAAGGUAAAGUCCACAGGAUAAUCAGAAAAUUUUGAAAUGUAGCGCUUUUUUUUUGGGGGGGGGGAAUGACAGGGACAACAACAACAACAAAAAACAACCCUAGGUCAUGAACUAAACUGCCUGUGUUUUCUAGGACUGUUGAAGCAUUUUGUUCUCUUUUAUUAUACCAUCACAGAUUGCUUUUGAGAACCAUUAACCAGUCAACAACAAUCCCCGGGUUUUGAGUUGCUUUACUGGUUCACAUUAAAAUGUCAUGAAAGCAUUUCCCUUUGUGAUGUUCCUACUGUCUUUUAUCAGAAGCCAUUCCCUCUGAAGUCAGAAGCAACUUUGCUGAUUAUUGAUUUCUGGAUGCUGAACACUAUGAGCCUCUUCAGCUGAUAUGACUCGAGCCAGUCUGUACUGCAUCCUCUAAAAAGGUCAUGGCAGGUUCAUAUAUUUUCUGUAAUAAUGCUUUUUCAUCUAUUUUAUUUGUUUGCAUAAUGCAGCACAGCUGAAGCGUCAACCCUAUGAUGCAAUCUCUCUUAGCUCUAACCCAAUUUUUUAUAAAUCUCAGUGAAAUGCAAGGAGUAUGUUGAAACCUUCUUGUUCAAAAAUCUUCCGCACCCAGGCCAAACAUGCACCUGCAUACAUGGUAGCAGGAAAAAUACUGGGGCAUGGCAGGUGAACUUCAAGUUGGCACUGCACAGGAAUAAGAACCAGCAUGUACCAAAAUCAACAGAAAGCUAAUCAAUGAUAUCAGUGCAUCGUAGGUCAGACUAUCCACAAAAUAUUUAUUCAGUCAGCGUUCCCUUCUUAAGGGGAACGUUGCAACUUACUGAAUAGAGCUAGUAGCAUGAAGAGUGCAAAUGCAGGCUUCUCUAAUCAAAAGUAGAAGGAUUUAAAGAAGUUUGGGGAUGGGGGAAACACAUGAAAUACUGAUAAAAUUUUGACACAAAGAAAGCCCAGAAGUAGGUAGCUUACUUCUUUAGAACUUCCAUAACCUACUGGUGGCAGAAGAAGGGAAAAAAAAAGUUUAAUAUCCAGGAUUAAUAGAGAGACAAUUUCUUCUGGUCACGAUGCCAGGUUGGGAAUACCAACUGUUAACAAGGCAGCUCUCUCCAGCACUUCUCAGCUUUGAAGUGGUGACUAUUAUUUGGAUGUACGGACAUGCUGCAUCUCAAGUGAAGGUCAGCCAGGAUUAACUGAUGAUAUAAGCAGGAGCGUGAAAUUGGAUAAUCAAGAAACUGUGCUGAACAACAGACUUUCAAAAUGUUAACACUUUAAAGAAUCAGAUCUCAAGCAGGACAUCUCUCAGUCGAGAGAGAUACACCUAUACUCAGCAGCAAAAGUGCAAGUUGGUGCUGCAAGGUGGUGCAGAGGCACGCACACAAGGUGAGAACAAUGGAAGGAGAAGGAAACAAAGCUACCCUAGGGCAGCUCAGCCCCCUCUUAGGGCUGCUGACGGUGACACGCACAUGUUAAAUCACAAGAGGAUACUGGUUCAUGCCUGGACUAAUCCACAGCUCCAUUUCCCACACGUCAGUAUCACAGAUGGUCCAGCACUGCAGUCCUUGUCUGAGAUUUUUUGGCAUUGUCACAUUAGUUGUAAAACCAUAGAAAAAUAGACAAGUUUAAGGUACCUUUUCUACAGAAAUGUUAAUAGUUACAAGAGGAGGUAGUCUAGCUUAAUUGAUAACAGAAGUUUCACAAUAAAAUCGGGAGUUUGAUUUUCCAUGAGAAGGCAUUCUGAUUUAAGAUGUCUGGCUUGACAUUCAUUCAGCAGAAAAUGAAAUAAAAGAUAGUGACAUAGUUUACAGAAGCAAAUGAAAUUAGCAACACAUUUUAUUUUUUUUUGCAAAUCACUGCAGAAAAGCCCUGAAGUAUCUUCAAAACAGCAGACAGACUUUGGGCUCUAAAUACUAUUUCUACUGACUUCUUAACAGGUCUAGUCUCUGCAUGUUUUGUACGGUCACAUCAGUGUUAGUUUAUACACACAAAAAUUUUCAGGAUGGCUAAAUACACAAUAAAUCUAACACCAGUUUAAAAUACAGGCACAACCUAUUACCUGCAAACAUAAUGGAUAAACUGGCAGAUCAAUUCUGUUUUAGAGUAGCCAACGACCACUUUUCACAAACACAGCUGUGACUGUUUCUAACACACUCUAGAAUAUCCUCAGGAUAGCCAGUCAGGCAACUCACCAAACAGGGCUCAGGGAACACGCAGCUCUAGGUUUAGGGAGCAAAUAUUUAAGUUUGUAAAUAAAUCUAAGUAUAGGGUUGUGUUCUAAUCUCUUAAGCAACAAUUCGGGAUGAAUUUCUGCCACAGGAGAGCAUUGCCAGUGUUAUUCAAACCUUUGCAGAAAGAACAAAACCAAAACCUAAAUGGAUUUCAGGAUCAUUGUGGCUACUGUCAGCGUCAGUGGCCAAACAGAUGGGGUUCUUCUGUUAUUUUGUACAGAUGCACACACACACAGAGGUAGGUAGACAAUGUAUGUAUACAUAUAAUUUUUGUCAGCAUUUGUGAGAAAAGUAUCUUACUGAUUUCAGAUUUACAGCAUGAAAGGUCUGUUGAAUGGAGGGUUUCUUUCCUUCUCAAAAACCUGGAGCUGUUUCUUUUUUUUUUUUUUGUUAGAAGGUAUUGCUAUGACUUUUUAAGCCAAGCUUACAUGUGUUUUAAUUCAAGGUGUAUUAAAUAGUUCUGCUUAACAUUGUUCAAGAAAGCAAGCAGGUAAGUAGUAAACAUGCUUCUAGGGCUAGUUAAUUUACUUCCAUUGAAAUUGGAAAGAAGUAAGAUUACCUGAAGUGUCAGGUAAUCUUGCCUCUAUUAGAGGAAUACUUAGAAAGAAUAAGGAGAAUUGUUAUUACGUGAACAAAAAGCAGCACAGGAUAUCUUAAUCUCUGAAGCAAGGAUAUAUGGGGUGAGUUUAAUAUCCUUUUUAAGUCCUUUCCAUGAUACAGAAGCUUAGCUUUGAAGGUCAGUAGCAAAACUAGCUGUUAUUUUAAAAGUAUAACAACAGGUAGGAGUGUUUAUAUUCUGAGUCUCCCUUCCAUGAAUACUUUCACUGCUAUGAUAGCUGGAUGCUUCAGGCAGACUCCAGGAUCUCCCAACAGUAAGAGUGUUUGUAUGCAGCUACACUCCUCUCUUUUAUUUGAAGCUUAAGCUGCUGCUGAAUAUCACAAGUAAGGGGCUGUGCAAAGAGCUAGGAGCUAAGCAGUCCUGGGAAGGACAAAAACCUGUACUAUUGCUCCUCUACUCUAAGGCUGAGGACAUCAUCUUUGCAUCUAUUUAGCAAGCACAGAUUACCUGAUUCUGUCAAACACUAAACAGAAAAGCCCCUCCUUCACAUUUAUUUCCUGUGCUACAAGAAGAGAAGGAUCCCUUCUCACAGAAUAAAGGGACAUAUGUAGAAGGCUUAGUCUCCCCUAUUUUCCUACAGGACAGCAUUAGAGCCUGCUAUGAUUAAGCCCUAGAUGUAGCCUCAUGCUGCUGACCUUCACUUGAGAUGCAGCAUGUCCACACAUCCAAAUAACACUUUGAUACUAAGAAUAAAUCUAAACAUUAAAAUAAUACAAAUAAAUAAGAUCAAACAACAUCAGCUUAUUCAGUUUACUAAAAACUUCUUUUUCCUUUGAAAUUACAUACAUUACAUUGUUCCAUUCACAAUAUGAUUCUGCACUACUGGACAGAUAAAUAAAAUAUGCAUAAACUGAACAUGCAAGAAUAGCUUCAGUAUAAAAAAAAAUAAAACUUUUCAUCCUGAACCAACUAAAUAGCAGGGUGUGCUGACUCUGUGAAGUUUCCAAGGUAACUGAGUAACAUCCCUGCAGGCUUAAUGUUAGAGCUCGCAGUCUUACAAUGUUUAAUUUGCUGCUGUUGCUAUGGUCAACUUUGGCCAGUGCAUAAGUGGAGACAAACACCAUUUCAGGAGAGCAACAUGCAGCCUGUAGAGGAAAAUGCACCCACAGAAUGUCAAGUGGCAUUCAAAGAGCUAUUUUGAGUUACAGAUGUAUCUAGCAAUAGCCAAUGUAAUUUUUUUUUUAUGAGUGUAAUUUUUGUUGGUGAAACAAAUAAGCGGCUAUGAUCAUUAUUUUUUAAUUCCCUCUUUCCCCUUGAUAUUUACUGGUGCUUAGUCAGGUUCUUCUUCAGCCAUGACCAUCCUGGAGAAUAGAUGGGUUCCAACUAAUCAGAAAGUAAUUACAUUAUCGUAACCUAAAUCUUCAGAAAUGCACUUUUCCCAGUCUAACCUUUCAAGACUGCUCGAAUUAAUCAGAGAUUCUGAUUAAAAUAUGAAUAAGGUAUGUAUGAAUGUCAAUUUUCCAAGUCACUGUCCCCAUCUCUUUCAGAAUUAAGUUCUUACUGUAACAACAGUGAUGCAAGGAGCAACACACUACGGAAGUAUGAAGAGUAUUUUAAAGUAUACACUAAAAACAAAAAUGGGAAAAAAUAAAUAAGGAAAUUUACUUGAAUUAGGAAAAACUGCGCGGCCAAAACCUUUGCUAACUUUGGCUCUACAUUCUUGUUACACCGUGUAGUGACAGCCCAAUAGGCUAACAAAAACUUUCUCCUAGAAGAUGAAGCCUUGGGAAGCAAUCCAAUUCCACAUGCUUUACUACCAAAUGCAGACUAGCGCUGGGCAUACUCCAUAAAGAAAGCCUUAUCUAAUACAGGAUUUAUGCAUCUCUAAAUUAGGCACUGCAAAACCUAGCUUGCAGGCACUGGCCUCCCGAGUGAUAUAAAGCUGUCGAGGUAAGGCACCUGGAGAUGCAUACAAGUUCUGGGCUCUCUAUACCAUGCAUGGAGUAGUCAGGCACCGCAGAGAGCUAUACAAAAAAACACAACAUUAACCUGGAGUUAGUCAGUAGGAGGAAGGAAAAAAAAAAAAAAAAAAGCACUGUAAGAGCAACAAGGCUCAACAACUUGUUUCCAGAUUCCAGCCGGACUCAGGACCACAAGACCAGUUCCACAGUUCCCUCUCAAAUGAAGGUGUUAACAGGUGUGCUUUGGAACAUGUUUUAACAUCCGAAAAAAUUGAGGAAAUAGUAGUGUUUAGGCUCACAUUUAACAGAGCAGAUAGACAGUGAUGAGUUCAGGAUACAAGCUUAUGCUACCUGGACAGUUUCUACAUGGAUUGACUGUUCCAAAUAGCUCAUCAAUGGAUUGGUUGUAAAAAUACUAAGGCAGUCUUAAGAACAUGGUGGAAUGUCCUGUAGCAUGGCCCUACGUCUAAGAUAACUGGCCUGGUUGGAAUCUACAAGGCAGUACUGGUGCAUGUGCUUUCUUUCUGGUCCACCGACUUCCAUCUCUGGAAGUUUAAACAGAGGCAAUGCUGUACAGACUGCUCAAUAGCUCCCCAUUCCUGGAGGGUGAAGAAGCAUUUCAACAUAGACUGCGUCCUAACUAUUAAGUUACAUCACACACUCACCAUGUUUUAGAAGAACAUGACAACAGGCACAGAUUACUUUGAAAGUAUGCCCAAAACACAUUGACAAAACUCAGACACUGCUGGAUCUUUGACAAUCCAGAAAACUACACAGCACAGCACACAGGGCAAUAUGCUCUAGUUACUAUUCAGAGAUAACGUUUUGCUAUCUCUUCACUGGUCAACAGCUGCUCUUUCUGCCAUGGAGUACUCAUUUGAGAGGAGGAAGGCUUUGUUACCCGCAAUGGAGAAGAAAAGUUCAGUAUUGUCUACAAACACAUGACAAUUUUGAAUAAUUUCAAUAUAAAGAGUCAUAUACAGUUUACACAAAGGAAAAAGGUCAUGAAACAUCCAAUAAGCCCUGACAUUUCAUUUCCACUAGAGGUGAAUAUGAAGUGGAAUCUCAGUUAUGGCAAGUCCCAUAUGAGGAUUACAAAUUUACAAGCCAACACUGAAAACGACAUUUCAAAAGAGACAGCAGAGUAAAACAAAUGCCCAGCUCUUUCAGAGCCUUUCCUUCAGAAAGUCUUUUUUUUUUUUUUUUACUAGCAUCUUUUGCUAUUUAAAAAUAUCUUUCCAGUAGUAAGGAUAAUUUACUGCCUAAUCAUGGGGUUCUUACCUAAAAGGACUCACAGUGCAAAAUUGCUGAACUGCAUAAAACUAAUUGCUUACGUGAGCUUCAGCGCUCGAAAGUAAAGAAGGCACCAAUAUAAAAAGAAACUUUACAAAGAACUUCUGGGCGAUCCUAGAGCUACAGACCAGCAAGUCUUACUUCCACAGAAAGCAAAUUGGUAGAUAUUACAGUGGAGGAGAACAUAGAAAGACGUGCCAAUAAACAGGAUGUACAGAGGAAGAUUUGAUGUGGCUCUUGCAGACGGAUGUCAUGACAUGAUCCAUUGAGUUCCAUCAAGAGUCAGCCAGCAUGCAGG